GCCCCCAUCGUCUAGUGGCCUAGGACAUCGCCCUCUCACGGCGAAGACAGGGGUUCAAAUCCCCUUGGGGGUACCA
rnacentral:tRNA from 1 species